rnacentral:rRNA from 1 species
ACGGGAGGCAGCAGUGGGGAAUAUUGGGCAAUGGGCGCAAGCCUGACCCAGCAACGCCGCGUGAAGGAAGAAGGUCUUCGGAUUGUAAACUUCUUUUAUGAGGGACGAAGGACGUGACGGUACCUCAUGAAUAAGCCACGGCUAACUACGUGCCAGCAGCCGCGGUAAUACGUAGGUGGCGAGCGUUAUCCGGAUUUACUGGGUGUAAAGGGCGCGUAGGCGGGGAUGCAAGUCAGAUGUGAAAUCUAUGGGCUUAACUCACAAACUGCAUUUGAAACUGUAUCUCUUGGGUGCUGGAGAGGUAGACGGAAUUCCUAGUGUAGCGGUGAAAUGCGUAGAUAUUAGGAAGAACACCAGUGGCGAAGGCGGUCUACUGGACAGUAACUGACGCUGAGGCGCGAAAGCGUGGGGAGCAAACAGGAUUAGAUACCCUGGUA